rnacentral:rRNA from 1 species
UACGAAGGGGGCUAGCGUUGCUCGGAAUCACUGGGCGUAAAGGGCGCGUAGGCGGAUCUUUAAGUCGGGGGUGAAAGCCCAGGGCUCAACCCUGGAAUUGCCUUCGAUACUGAAGAUCUCGAGACCGGAAGAGGUGAGUGGAACUGCGAGUGUAGAGGUGAAAUUCGUAGAUAUUCGCAAGAACACCAGUGGCGAAGGCGGCUCACUGGCCCGGUACUGACGCUGAGGUGCGAAAGCGUGGGGAGCAAACAGG